UUUCCGUAGGUGAACCUGCGAAGGAUCAUUAAUAAAUUUUUUUUUGAAAUAAAAAAAAAUAAUAAUCAUCCUACCCUUUGUGAAUUUGUUUUGUUGAAUAAUUUUUUAAAAUUAUUUAUUGUCUAUCCAAGUUGGAAAGUUGUAAAAGACUGGAAGACUUGGAGCGGCAUAAAUAAAUUUAAAGACUUUUUUUCUAAAAUUAAACUUUUUGUAUUCAUUUGUCUAAAAUAAUUUUUAUAAUAUAUAAAAACAACUUUUGACAAUGGAUCUCUUGGUUCUCGCAACGAUGAAGAACGCAGCAAAAUGCGAUAAGUAAUGUGAAUUGCAGAAUACGUGAAUCAUCGAAUCUUCGAACGCAUAUUGCACUUUUUAGUUUACUAAAAAGUAUGUCUGUUUGAGUAUCAGUAAAAUAUUCUCAUAAAAUUUUUUAAUUUUAUGGUUAUGAGUGUUUUACAACGAUAAACAAGUUGUUUCACUUUAAAUUGAAUUUUUUGAAGAAAUUCUUUAAUUCAAAUUAAAUUUGGAUAAAAUUUUCCCGUAAAAAGGAAUAACUAUACAAGUUUAAUAAGAAUUUAGUGAUUUCUUUUAUGAAGAGGAAAUUUAUUAAAUAACUUGAUCUCAAAUCAGAUAAGAGUACCCGCUGAACUUAAGCAUAUCAAUAAGCGGAGGAAAAGAAACUAACAAGGAUUCCCCUAGUAACGGCGGGUGAAGCGGGAAGAGCUCAAAUUUGAAAUCUUAAAGGGUUUCCCUUUACGAAUUGUAGUUUAAAGAAGUGUUUUCUGUUGAGGUUUUGGUAAAAGUUCUUUGGAAUAGGACAUCAUAGAGGGUGAGAAUCCCGUAUUUGACCUUUACUUUCAACUUUGUGAUACACUUUCAAAGAGUCGGAUUGUUUGGGAAUGCAGUCCAAAAUGGGUGGUAAAUUUCAUCUAAAGCUAAAUAUUGGCGAGAGACCGAUAGCGAACAAGUACCGUGAGGGAAAGAUGAAAAGAACUUUGAAAAGAGAGUUAACAGUACGUGAAAUUGUCAAAAGGGAAGCGUUUGACACCAGUGUUGUUUUUCUGAAAAUCAAUUAAAGAACUGUUUAUGCUAAGUUGUUUAGACUUUAUCAGCUAACUGUUUAGUUUUGAGCCUUUCUUUAAUGCACUUUUCAGUUAACAAGUCAACAUCAAUUUCUUUUGCUGUAAAAAGCUUGAGGAAGGUGGCUUGAGAUUCGUCUUAAGUGUUUAUAGCCUCUUGCCUAUGCAGUCGGUGAGAUUGAGGUCUGCAGCGUAGAUCCUUCGGGGCUAAAUGCAUUUGUGCUAAGUUAUAGCAUUUUAUAGACAACUUGUUGACUAUGAUUUGUCUUGUAGCUUACUCGCUUAUGUUAUUU
rnacentral:misc_RNA from 1 species